CGGGCUGGCUUUUCUUGGCAGCAGAUGGGAUCAGCAAAGGAACGAAGGAACAAACAAGCAAAUCCUCCUGUCCGUUGUGACUCAUGCCUUAGGUUUUCUGCUGGGUUCUAAUCCAGCAACUGUUGAGGUCACUGGAGUAAGUAUAAGAACAUCCUGUACACAUCCUGCACACCUGUGCCACCAAUGUACCAGCAAAAAACAAAUGCAGAAAUCUAUACUGUUACGGUUUUCACCCAGAAGAAGGCGCUCCAAGAAGAAAGUGACUGCUUCAAUGUAUGGCUUAAGCUGCAUAAUUAUUUAAUGCUUGCUCCCUCAUUACAUUAUAAUCAUGCAUUUAAAGAAAAUUAUGGAGUAUCAUUAAGAAAAUAAAUCUUGUUGAGUUCUGA